GGGCACGUUUCUACAAAUCCUAAGAAAACUCCAAAAAAAGACAAAAUAACCCAGAAAUAAAAAUCGCCGUGGAGGCGAGUCGCCGCCGGCACCGCCCGGCACGGCCUUCUUCUCCGGCGAAGGCGGAGCUCGUUACGGGGAUUCCGCAUCCGUUAAUCGGUCCCACCGGAUCCCUCGCCGCCUCCCACGGGCCGGGCCGCGCCGUGGCGCGCGCGCAGGCCGAGAUGCGGAAGAGGAUGGAGAGCGUCGACGAUCUGAUCGAGGAGGCAAAGCUGCGCACCGUCUGGUGGGCGCUCUGCAUCUUCGCCGUCUCCUACUUCCUCACGCAUACAAGUAAAUCAAUGUGGACAAAUGUGCCCAUGUCAAUCCUUAUACUUGCAUUUCUGCGAUAUCUCUCCUUCAAAGUGGAGUUCCGUUGGAGGGAACACCCUGUACGUAAGCAGACACAUUUGUCUCAAGCCUCAAAGAGACAGUUGUCUGCAAAUGAUCAUCGCCUUUCGACUGUACCACCAGUCUCCAGAUGGAGAAGGAAAGUUGGUUCACCUUCUGUUGAGGCUGCUUUUGAAAGUUUCAUUGAGAAAAUUUUACGAGACUUUGUUUUAGACUUGUGGUACUCAGAUAUUACUCCCGACAGAGAGGCACCAGAACUGAUACGUGGCUUAGUACUUCAUGCUCUUGGUGAAUUAUCAGGCAGGGUGAAAGAGAUGAAUCUAGUUGACAUGCUAACAAGGGAUAUGGUUGAUUUGAUUGGUAAUCAUUUAGAUAUUUUUCGGAAAAAUGAAAUUCUAAUUGGCGUUGAUGUCAUGAGGACUUUGUCUUCAGAGGAAAUAGAUGAGAGACUGAAGCAGCACCUAAUAGUUUCACAGGAACUUCAUCCAGCACUGUUAUCUUCAGAGCAUGAGUACAAGGUUCUUCAAGAAAUUGUUGGGGGCAUUAUGGCUCUAGUGUUGAGACCACAGGAUGCUCAGAGUCCGCUAGUUCGCUGUUUCUCCAGGGAAUUGAUGACCUGCCUAAUCUUGCAGCCUGUUAUGAACUUCGCAAGCCCUGUCUACAUCAAUGAGUUGGUUGUCUACCUUCUAAAUGCCAAAGAUACAGGUAGCGCUGGAGGUACAAACAUGGCUAAUACAGGAACAGUAACACUAGUGCCUUACAAAGGAGGCUCACAAGGUUGUCAAAUGGAAUCAAGGAAUUUGACUGUAGAAACUAGCGGUUUAGUUCCACCAAAUAAUUCUGGGAUGAGAUCACUUGUUACUUCUGAAUGUGGAAAGUCAAAAGUGUCAGAGGAUGACAAUGAUGGUACCAUCCAACCUCGUCAGCCAGACUGGGCGGCGGUAUUGGAUGCAGCUACUAAAAGAAGGUCAGAGGUUCUUGCCCCUGAGAAUCUUGAGAACAUGUGGGCAAUUGGAAGAAAUUAUCAAAAGAAAAUGGUUAAAUUAGACCACUCAUCAAGACAGAAAGGCUCUGAAGGUUCAGAUAAUAGUACAAGUGCAGGGGCAGUUGGUAAAGAGCUAUCCUCUAACUUCAACGACAGAAUUGCAUCUGUUGAUGAUAAAUACAUGGUCAAUUUGAUGCAAAGUAAAAAUAGGAAUGCUCAAUCUACCUUCGUCACAGGUAGUCAUCCACUUGCUCUACAAAAUAUGAAUGAAGUGAAACCAAAAGAGGGGAGUCAAGUUAAUUUUACCAGCAAGGAAAAACCACAUGAAACCAGCAACAGAGUAAAAGCCCAACUAAAACGGUGUAAUAGUACUCCUGAUAUUGAGAAAAGAUAUUUGGCAAAAAGUAACCAGCCCAUGGUUUCCAGUGAAAGGCUAAAUGUGAGGAUAAAUCAGGAUGAGAGAGGUGUUGGUCCUGCCUCACAUGUUGAGGUGCUAAUGCAUGUUCCGAAGAUAAGAUGUCGGGUUGUUGGUGCAUAUUUUGAGAAACAAGGUUCAAAAUCUUUUGCAGUUUAUUCUAUUGUGGUGACUGAUGCGGAUAACAAGAGCUGGUUUGUGAAAAGAAGAUACCGGAAUUUUGAACGUCUUCAUCGACAACUGAAGGAGAUACCUAAUUAUUCAUUACAUCUGCCUCCAAAGAGUUUUCUUUCAUCUAGCGUUGAUGAUUAUCUUGUGCACCAACGGUGCAUUCUCCUGGACAAAUAUCUUCAAGAUCUCUUGUCUAUAGCUAAUAUUGCAGAGCAGCAUGAAGUUUUGGAUUUUCUGAGUGCAUCCUCAAAGACUUACUCUGCUGGAAAGUCCUCCUCUGUUAUGAAAACCUUGGCUGUUAAUGUUGAUGAUGCAAUGGAUGACAUUGUUCGACAAUUUAAAGGAGUUUCAGAUGGUUUGAAACGGGCGGUCGGCACAUCACCUUCUAGUGCAACUGCCCAAUUUGCAGAUAAUAGGAUGUCUCUAUCUUGGAACCAGGAAGAGAAAGAUAACCACAACUUGCAUCAAAGAAACUUGGAAAGGGCUCAUAGCCUUUCAGAUGGUGAUAGUAACUAUGAAGAUCACAUCUCUUCUGUGAAUAGUGGAUGCCAUUCAGACAAUGAGGUCAAUAAUAGAGGACAUACUUCAAAUGAUGUUGAGCACAUCGAAACAUGCUCUAGUUUGGAUAAACAAGCCAGCGACCAAAUAGGAAAACCUGCAAAGGAAUAUUCUGAUUCUUCAAACAUGUCAUCUCUAAAUGCAUUUGAGGAUCCAACAGGAAUUCCUCCUGAGUGGAUGCCAACAAAUGUUAGUGUGCCUUUAUUGAACCUGGUUGACAAAGUAUUCCAGCUAAAGCGACGGGGUUGGAUACGGUUCUUUGGAUAUCAAAACAAAUUUUGCAGUUGGUCAUGGAAGAUGCAAUUGAUGAAUGGAUCAUAAGACAAAUCAAUUGGCUCCGAAGAGAAGAUGUCAUCGUACAAGGAAUACAUUGGAUUCAAGAUACCCUUUGGCCAAAUGGUAUAUUCUUCACCAAGUUGGAUGAAUAUAAAGGGAAUGCAGGCACAAGUGAAUUUGACAAGCAGUCAUUAGGGAGUCCCACACUGGCUGUUGGCAAUAAAAAGGGCCGCACAAGCUCUUUUGAACUUCAUCUUGAGGCAUCCAGAAAUGCCAGUGAGGUCAAAAAACUUAUUUUAGAUGGAACUCCAUCGGCCUUGGUCAGCAUAAUUGGAUACAAGCAGUACCGGCGCAGCGCAAGGGACAUGUACUACUUCCUCCAAUCCAACGUCUGCAUCAAACAGCUCGCAUAUGCAAUGCUAGAGCAGGUCCUCGUGACAGUCUUCCCAGAGCUUCGCCAGCUAAUAGAAGACAUACAUGAGAAAGGCCGCAAAGAGCAAGCCUCAUUCACAUACCAACUCUGACCCAAGAGAAAACAUGCUAAUUCAGAGAGGAGUCGCAACAAUUUUGAACGCACUUGCAUUGCUCCACGGUGAGUUACUGAAACACAAAGCCUUUGCAAUUAUAUUUUGAUGAUGCAUAAGUUGGAUUGAGGAAGUGCUUGGUGCUUAAGAAUGAUCUGUACAGAUGUAUAUCAGAGGUUAUGUAAAUUAUCCCCCUGAUGUAGUCAACCAGAACAACUUACAGUGAGAUCUUGUAGGUGUUGAAUGUAAUGUAUCAUUCUUUAAUUCCCCCCCCCCCCCCCCCCCCCCCCCCCCCCAAGAAUUAAGUUAUUCUCCCCCCUGACUUAUGCUGAGGCUUGUAAAGUUUUGAAAGUUCCAAGUGUAUAGCUGUACUGUUUGUGUUGCUGAGUAAAUCAAAAUGUUGCGCGAGAUGCCA